AACAUCGCGCACCUGCGGGAACCUGCGGAGGGAUCAUUAUCGAAUAAAUCUGAUGUGGUUGUAGCUGGCUUCUAGGAGCAUGUGCACGCCCGUCACUUUUAUCUUUCCACCUGUGAACCCUCUGUAGUCCUGGGAUAAACUCUCGCGCGCUUCACGGCGUCGCGGAUGCGAAGGUUGUCGUGCCUCUGGCCGGCUUCCUUUGAAUUUCCUGGGUCUACGUCUCUUAACACACCCCUAACG
rnacentral:misc_RNA from 1 species